AAAUUAAUCAUAGUGGGCAGAACAAGCAAUGAGGUUGGCAGAGCCAAUCACGAGAUAGCGAGAUCCUAUUGGCAUCUUUUAGCAAAUAUUUUCAUAUAUCCGUUAGGGAACACCUUCUCUGUGAAUUGCGCGUGUGCAAUAACUUGCACUUAUUUUAAAUAGCGCAAUUUGUUUUAAACUCUGGCAAAGGGUAACGUCUACGAAACUUAGUCCACUCAGUUAGAAGCGUAUUUUGUUAUUGGAAACUGAAAACGGUAUUGAGAUCAAAUGUUUAAUCGAUGAGAAAAUUAGCAGAAUGUCGGCCAAAAUCCAUCUUCUUCCACUGCCUGCCACUGUGCUUCCUUUCAUCACCAUAUUUGGUAGUGAGUGGAAACGCCAACCGGAUGCUUCACAUUUAUACAGAUGGUGAAAUAUCUGUGGUAUUACUCCUCUUUACAUGUAUAUAUUACCAUAAGUAUUUAUAUGUUCCUGCUACCAGUCACUUUUCAGCCCUGUUUAAAUAUAUAUCCGCCUAUCACGCCUACACUGACACACACUUUGUUUUUCGUUUCUUUCCUUAUUUAAAAAAAAGUGUUUGUUUUUACUUCUGGUUUGUCUGUCAACCUUAAAGUCAACCAAAACGAUAAUGAUUCUGAGGAGAAUUUUGGCAAAUUGUAGGCACUAUUUGAUUAUUGAUAUGCCCCGUAGUUGCUAACGGUUGCCAUGGCAACAGCUAAUCAUACAACUGGACGGCUAACUACUACUAGCUAGGUAACGUGUUUACUCUCAAGGCACAGWGUCUGAGGCAUUGCCCCGUCACAUUUCCGCCUCAAGAGGUUGUGCAGCAGGGCCUCCACUGCAUCGGUUAGCGUGCAGAACUCUCUUCCAGACAUGCCCCCRGUGGAGAAGCUACAGUUGACAGAGGUUGUGAAGUCCAGUUUGGACCUCUGUGAAGCGGUGGUGUAUGAAGACGAGCAGCAGAGGUUCAGAGAACCGAGGCAGGAGACGAUCCAAAUGGACAGAGCUGAGUUUGGCUAUGGUCUCCCUCUUUCACGCCUCCCUAGAGCAGCAGAGGGCUGACACACCCCCUGCCCGUCAUUAAAAGGUCAUGUCAAAAAGGUUAAUCGUCUCUUAUGGGAGAAAUGACAGGCGUCUGGUAACUGCAGAUCUAGGGGGUAGUUUAGUGUCCUCUCCUGAACUGGUUAACCAGAUUGACCACUAUGUUCAGUGCAGUGGUCAGUAUGGGUUAUGAGGAAAGCAAUGAUAGGUGAAAGCAAUAUGUUGGAUGCCUUCUCUGGGGAAUGCAGUGAAGGAAAGGAGACAAGGAGAGGGAGCCAUUCUAGACUAAUAGGCUAUAGAGAUGGAAAAUACAGCAUGGACAGUGUAAGUAUUUUUUUGAGUCUUUGAGGAGAAGGCCUAGCGAUAAAUUUGCCCAGGCUCUGCAGGGACACGGUCCUUCUGAGAGCAAUAAAAAUAAAACAUUUUCUUUCGAUUCAUUUAUUUGUCAGAAAGAAAGAGAUUACCAGUGGAAAUAUAUUUCCAGAGCUCCCUCCGUUGGACAUGCAGUACUGGAAGAGGUCAGAGGAGAGAAGACUGGCUGCAAUGAACAAAGUAGGAAAGACCAAGAGCUCCUCAAGAAAUGACGUACUCAUGCUAGGACCAUGCAGGAGAGGAACAUCUUAGAGCACAAGCAAGAAAGGUGUGAGAGACAUAUGAGAGGGGAGACGUUGGAAAAGAUGGCUGUGCAGACACUAAGCUGAAGCUGUCCAGGUUGGAGAUAGCGACAGGCCUAGCUAGUGAUGGAGCACUGUGCCUCCAGUAUGCAGUCAGUCAUCCUGCAGUCAGAUGUCGCCAGGGAGGCCCCUCCCACAGCAGUGUUGCCGAAAGUGGUGGGGUCAAAACCCUCAACCCCCUACCAGAGAUAGAGAUUGUUCCUGUACCAGAAACAACACGUGGAAGCCUGGGUGGCCAGAGACAGGGAGUUGGAGCAGUGUAUCAGGAGCCAUGUUCAGAUGAUGAAAGAGGCCCAGGGGCACUGGCCAAGAGGAGAUUGAAGCUGCAAGACAAGAUAUGGAGGAAGCCAAGAGGUUGCAGUCAGAACUCGCUGAGAGAGAUCGAGUAUCGAUUCAUCGUGUUUACUGGGGAGAACUCUGCUAUGACAAGUGAAAGUAUUUUUGAGUGUGUAGCCCUACUGCCAUUUUGAAUUGUUGCAAAAUUAAAUUAACUUACAUUGCAUAUAAAAAUAGAAGUACAGGAGAGGGUAGUAUGGAAUUAUAGCACUCUACAAACACAGUUUCCUCAUUCACAAUGGUAUCCAAUACCCAUUCAUCAAUAAACAUUUCAUAUUCUUACUUGA